GUAUGUACAGUAUGUGCGUGAGUUUUUAAUUUAAAAUGUCUUAACUUAACUCGGAAGGAUCUGAAUGACAGGUCAUUUCAUUUGAGAUCAUUCCGCAUGUGACAGCCGGAAUCACUCACUGUUUCCCACAACGAGUCAUCAGCCGUUUCCUCAAGGUCACGUCAGAGGGGUGGUGAUGUGGAGAGGCAGACCAGACCACCACCAUACGCGAAGAUGAGCCUCGAGGCUUGACAGUUAUUUUUUCAAACUGAGGAGUUCGGACUCCGGACCGUCAUUUCUGCUUGUUUGUACCCUGAGAUAACCAUGGUUAAUAAAUGGUCAGACACGUCACUGGCUUUAAAAUAUAAACCCCAUUGAUGCAAAAAGAUGCUGCAUGGAAUGACAAUGAGGUUUGGAACAGAACAUGGAAACAUCUCUUAAUAAAAUGGCCCCAAACAUCAUCAGGAGUGCAAAAGAAGGAAGUAAAAACAUCUCUACGCCAAUCUCAUUGGAGAGGAAACCACAGAAGGUCUGGUGAGGAAUGCUGCACUUAUGUUAUUGCAAGCAUUAUUUCAAGAAAAUCCCAGCUUCCUUUACUGUGUAAAUAGUGAACCCAAAGGUCCCACACCAACCAUAGUGUUCAACGGCUCUCCUGAUCUUUUCAAAUCUGAAUGUAUCAAAUUUAUAAUGGACAAUGUGAACUUAAUAUGUGGAAGACAUUGACAUCACAGGCUGUGGAAUGACUGUGUCACAGGUCGGAGAAGCGGACCGCCCCUGUCGCGGAUCACGCUCCUCCUAGUUCCACCUCGAGGAGGUCCCAAAGCACCCCAAUGACCAGACAAACCAGAGGGGGAGUAUUACGGGGCCAGGGACGUUGGAGGGGUUUCUACGUGACUCCAGGUGGAACACCGCUACAGAGCGUAUCUGGGUGGGUUGGGCACACACCGUCGCGGCGGCCCCUGAUGGCAUCCACAAAGGUCCAAGACCCUCCUAAGCUCCUAGCCGUAGCAGAACUACGUAUUUCAGCACCCGAAGGACUAACAACCCAGCCGGCAUCUGCAGCGUAUAUCCAACGCGAUCAAACUUCACUCUGACAAGUAACUUCCUAUACACAACCACGCCGUCCUUUCGCCCGGACCAGCCCCGCACUCUUUCCGGCUGCUACCUAGCGGUCGCCGGAUCAGCAGAGCCUGCGGACUCUUCGGAGGCUGGUCUUCGUUGUGCUGCCCAAGGCGGAAGUUGACUCGCCCGAAAAUCGACCCUUCCAGUAACUUCUACCUUCUCUCUUUUUAUCCUCCUCCCAGGCGUGGCUCGCCCAACCAUCGCUCGCCACGUCACUCACACAGCUGUGCCUUGUUUCAGCGAGUGCGGGGAUUCCCGGGGAACCCUGAAGUGCCGGUGUCUGUACAAACCGGUCCGGGCGGAACCUCUUCACUCUCCUUUUGGUUCCGCCCCGCAUAGUCACUCCGUGACAACUGUUUGCGUUUUUUUUUUCUCCUCAAUGUUCAAAACCCUUUUGCCAUUAAGUACACAGUGACUUUAAUUUAUAAAAUAUAUGCUUAAGUUUUAAUACCUGUACAAAACAAAUGUACAAUCAACUUGUGUAAAUUUUAAUAAAAAUUUAAGCUUUAAUUGCUUGUUCAUGUUAGUUCAGAGUGCAUUAACUAAUGUUAACAAGAUUUUAAUAAAGUAAUUGUUGAAAUUAACAUUAACAAAGAUUAAUAAAGGCUGUAUAAGUGCAGUUCAUUAUUAGUUCAUGUUAACUAAUGUAGCUAACUAAUGUUAACUAAUGAACCUUAUUGUAAAGUGUUACCGUGAUUUCUUUUCAUCAUUUCAGACACAUGUAAAAGUUACUAAAAAUUAAUACUGCAUAUACUGUACAGUAUCUAUGCGUAAGGGAAAUAACUUAAACAAAAUUUUUAAUGUAUAGUGUAAUUAAGAGUUUAGCUGUUUAAUACAGAGAUGCAAUUUAUUUAUAUAUAUUAUUUAUAUACAAACGUAUGUAUGUUUAUUAAAAAGUGAAAAUGCUUAAUGGAAAUAAUUAAAUAACUAAAUGGUUGAAUGUAAUGAGACAUUUUAAAUGUAAACUAAAGUUUUGCUGUCUAAUACAGAAUAAAGAGAUGUGAUUUUAAGUAA